rnacentral:lncRNA from 1 species
AGCUAAUAUAUGGAAUUAUGUCUAUAUGUUUUCCAUACACUGUUACAUAGUUGCAGCGAAAACUGCUUACUAAUUUCUGGACAAUUAAAUCCCCUGAACAAAUUAAGUUUUCACAGUCAUUGUGACGAGAGUGGCAAAAGAGUGGUCCAAACCAGAAAUUCUGCUAUAUCUGUAAUUCACCACAUUAACAGUAAAUGCAGAUGGUGAAAAUUUUCCGUAUGAGGUUGGCCUGCAUCAAACAGUAUACUGGAGUCAGAGUCACAAUCCAUUAAAGCAAGGAAGAAUGGCACAAGAGAUGGGAUAAGUAUCAAAAUCUACUUACCUGUAUUGGAAUUACCCCCUCUGAAACCUACUUCCUUUAUGGCAAACAAAACAUCUUUGGCUGAUGUAAAGUUUUUCAAGUAAAAUUCUAUUUUGGGAUGUUCACUGAGUGGAAGAAAGAAAAUGUUAUUCAGGGAGAAUUAAAAAGAUGAGAAAAUUAAAGCCGUGGGGUUAAUUUGCCCAAACAACAUUCUACAACUCCCGAAGGACAGAAAACAGAAAAGUGAAUCCCUUCAGAAUACAGCAUUUUUAUCUUAAUUGAACCUGAUUAUUUCUGCUCCAGAUCUGUCCAGAGAGAUUUAUCAAGCAGC